rnacentral:rRNA from 1 species
GAUGAACGCUGGCGGCGUGCCUAAUACAUGCAAGUCGAGCGAACAGACGAGGAGCUUGCUCCCCUGACGUUAGCGGCGGACGGGUGAGUAACACGUGGAUAACCUACCUAUAAGACUGGGAUAACUUCGGGAAACCGGAGCUAAUACCGGAUAAUAUAUUGAACCGCAUGGUUCAAUAGUGAAAGACGGUUUUGCUGUCACUUAUAGAUGGAUCCGCGCCGCAUUAGCUAGUUGGUGAGGUAACGGCUUACCAAGGCAACGAUGCGUAGCCGACCUGAGAGGGUGAUCGGCCACACUGGAACUGAGACACGGUCCAGACUCCUACGGGAGGCAGCAGUAGGGAAUCUUCCGCAAUGGGCGAAAGCCUGACGGAGCAACGCCGCGUGAGUGAUGAAGGUCUUCGGAUCGUAAAACUCUGUUAUUAGGGAAGAACAAAUGUGUAAGUAACUAUGCACGUCUUGACGGUACCUAAUCAGAAAGCCACGGCUAACUACGUG